UUGACCUCGGAUCAGGUAGGAAUACCCGCUGAACUUAAGCAUAUCGAAAGGCGGAGGAA
rnacentral:rRNA from 1 species